GGAAAAGAAUCGCGGCCCGGUGGCGCGCCCGGUCUUCAAAACCGGUGAGGGGCGUGAGACGUCCCUGGUGGGUUCGACUCCCACUCUUUUCCGCCA
rnacentral:tRNA from 1 species